UACGAAAGGUGCAAGCGUUACUCGGAAUCACUGGGCGUAAAGCGCACGUAGGCGGACUUACAGGUCAAUUGUGAAAUACCUGGGCUCAACCCAGGAACUGCAGUUGAAACCGUUUGUCUUGAAUACUUGAGAGGGUGGGGGAAUACCUGGUGGAGAAGUGAAAUUCGUAGAGAUCAGGUGGAACACCGGAGGCGAAGGCGCCUGCCUGGCAAUGUAUUGACGCUGAUGUGCGAAAGCUAGGGGAGCGAACGGG
rnacentral:rRNA from 1 species